rnacentral:rRNA from 1 species
GGGCCCGCACAAGCGGAGGAACAUGUGGUUUAAUUCGAUGAUACGCGAGGAACCUUACCUGGGCUAGAACGGCAGUCUGCUUCUUGGGAGAGACCCCUUGAUUCUUCGGACAGACUGUUGAGGUGCUGCAUGGUUGUCGUCAGCUCGUGCCGUGAGGUGUCGGCUUAAGUGCCAUAACGAGCGCAACCCUUGCUGUCAGUUGCCAUCGGGUCAUGCCGGGCACUCUGGCGGGACUGCCAUCGCAAGAUGUGAGGAAGGUGGGGAUGACGUCAAAUCAGCACGGCCCUUACGUCCAGGGCUACACACGUGUUACAAUGGGAGGAACAGUGGGAUGCCAUCCGGCGACGGAGCGCUGAUCCCUAAACCCUCUCCCAGUUCGGAUUGGAGUCUGCAACCCGACUCCAUGAAGCUGGAUUCGCUAGUAAUCGCGCAUCAGCCAUGGCGCGGUGAAUACGUUCCCGGGCCUU